rnacentral:ncRNA from 1 species
AGACGUAUGUUUAUAGAUUCUCGUAUAAUUAUGGAGAUAGGGUCCAUCAGUUUCUACCAGACUACCGUAAAUGGUCUGACUACGGGAGAUUUAUUUCGAUGU